rnacentral:rRNA from 1 species
GACGAACGCUGGCGGCGUGCCUAACACAUGAAAGUGGAGCGACGAACCAGGCUUCGGCCUGGGGCAAAGCCGCGAACGGGUGAGUAACACGUGGGUAACCUGCCCUGAUGAUUGGGACAACCCGAGGAAACUCGGGCUAAUACCAAAUGUGCCCUUCGGCCACAAGGCCGCUGGGGAAAGGAAGCUUCGGCCUCCGCAUCUGGAUGGGCCCGCGGCCCAUUAGCUUGUUGGUGAGGUAACGGCUCACCAAGGCGACGAUGGGUAGCUGGUCUGAGAGGACGAUCAGCCACACUGGGACUGAGACACGGCCCAGACUCCUACGGGAGGCAGCAGUGGGGAAUCUUGCGCAAUGCGCGAAAGCGUGACGCAGCAACGCCGCGUGGGGGAAGACGG